UACAAAAGAGCAGAAACCUGUAGCAGCAGCAGCAGCUGGGGAGCGGCUCACUGACUUAUUCAUACAGGCGCAGCCACGCACAGCCAAAUACGUCGUUUGUCUUUGUCUCUGGAUUUAUGCACAUUAUCUGGAUUUCCAAAGUGAAUUGUGUCUGCCUGUGACUCCUGUUCACGGCACUCCCACUUGUGCUUGCAGCAGCUCUGCAAAUAUAGGGUGUACACCGCGUAGGAGCGAGCUUUUUUUACUGCAGCGAAGCAGCAUGGAGGUAGAAUACCGUGUGAGAUUUAUUACAAUUCGGUGGUUGUGGAAGGCGUCCAACGUAGUGAUGAUUGCAGGCAUCAGAAGUGCUAGGCCCUACUGAAUUUAUCAACAAGGACCAUAGAUCUGACACCAAUUGCUGGGAGUAUCUGAAUGGGAACCAGGACGUGUACAGGUUAUGUUCACAAGACAACAUCCAGUUUUUAGUUGCUUGCAGUUAGACAACAGUGGGUUGUGCAAUAUAUUAGUCCAUCUUUGGUACAGCUUUUCUUGUAUGUUCUGCCUAGAGAGACAACAAGAGCUCAUUUUGGAUUCCAUCGUACUCCUGUGCUGGUGACAUCUCUUGAAUGUCCUCCUCUAUAGCUUCAUUGACGGAGGUGCCAUAUCUGUUGACCUGGACCCUCAGAGGAUGGAUCAACUUCUCAUGAGUUUGUGUUUCAGCGAAAUAUGUAUUUGAGUGACAAGACUUCUACCUUUGUUAAAUUUUUAACAGGAAGGGGGCAGCACAGGUGGAGUCAUAUGACAAUGUUCCGUGGUCCCUCGCAAUCAUAUACUGUGUAUUUGCACAGCUUUGAUGAAUCCAAAAGUAGUUUGACCAGUUGACCACUUUUUACCACAUGAAACUGACACUAAAACUGACCUCUCUCCCUGUGAAGAACACGAGUCAUUAAUUUACAAUCAUACAUGUGUCAUACAUAUGUCCUAUAUAGAUUAUACUGUAUAUUGUGUGUUUAUGUAUUAGUGCAGUGUGUUUUUGUGUGAGGAUAUGUAGUGUAUGCAUGAGCCACAAUUCUGCGUCUUUGCAUAUCCAUGUGCAUGUGCAUUCUGACAUACAACGUAUGAGCUCCUUUAAGCCGCCGAGUGCACCAGACGCUGGAGAAGAUAUUUACAAAUUAUUGUAUAGCAUUUGUUUUGGCUGAGCAACUACAGUAUGAACAACUGCUUAACAAUCACAAGAGUGGCUCAAAAAAAUGCUGGUAAUGCUUUACCAGUAUUAUCUGAUUCAUAAACAAAAUCCAGCAAAUGCUAAUAAUUGUGCAAAUAGAUUUGUACCCAGGUCUGGAUGAUACUAACAUUAUUUCCCUGUCAACACUAAUUUCUGCUAACAUUGAUGAUUACUAACCUCUGAAUGCUGAUGGCUGUCUAAUUCACUAACCCUCUGCUUUAUGGCUGCAAAUGCGUAUACUGUACUGUAUGUAUGCUCCUCUCUGGUGAUCCUGCAACCCCUCUUCUAAAAAUAAAAAAACAGCUAUUCAUUACAGAUGGACACCAAAGAUAAACACUAACAAAAGUUAUCAAGAAGGGUUUCAAGAUUUGAGGGGGAAAUGGAAUGAACCAGAAGCCGAAAAGUGGCGUAUCAAGCUGGUUUGACCACAUGAAUCCACAAGACUUUAUUGCAGUUGAAAACUAUAUCACAGCUCUGUCACACUGGAGGGCUCCAUUUACAGAAGCAGAUUUGUGUUGCUUUGUGUGCACAGUGUGGUCAAGCUGGUGAGCAGGUGAGUGCCCGGAUUGUUGUCACCAAGGGCAACAACUCUCCAUGGCUCUAAUACUAACAGUAGUGAGCCUGCCAAAUACUAACAUCUCUACCCAGCUAUGCAAAACGUAGUAUUCUUUGUCCUUGUUGAUCAUCUAAAGCAUGGCCUGUUUUAACAUGCACUUAUUGAAAUCCUAAUGGGGACUAAUCAUUGAUGUAAUGAGCAAACCGUUUAUUGGAAGCCACUAACAUUCCCAGAAUCUUUACCAAUACUAACCAAAAGGCUUUUAAUAACUAACAAACUAACAUACUAAUUAACUAACAAACUAACAUCACUAACUAAAUAUUGGUAUCGUUAGCAUCCAAAUUUAGAGGAGUUACAUCACAUGUCCCUGCGACCCUCGUGAGGAUAAGUGGUAGUGGUAUCACAUGUUGGGUGUGCUAACAAGGUUGAAUUGAAUGUGUGUGCGCAUACGAGGCCACUUCCAUGCUGAGUGUUCUACUUAAAUAUGCUGCUUAAAUAUGAUGCAUCAUCUCAUUUAUUCCAGUUGAGAAUCAAACAAGGUUUUGGCUUAAAGGGGAAGUGCACUUUUUGGGGAAUUUUGCCCAUUAUUCACAAUCCUGAUGUGAAACAUGAACGCAUAUUUCUUUCCAUUUUCUGUGCAUUAUAACACAAGAAAACUAGUUAAUGAAGAAAAAUGUGUUCAUGUUUCACAUAACGACUGUGAAUAAUGGGCAAAAUUUCCAAAAAAGUGCAGUUCCCCUUUAAAGGUGUAGCUGCUCUAUAGGAGUGCACAAUGCAAUACAUAGGGCUGAAAAUGAGCACAAUUGGGCCCCUUUAAGAUUUUGCCACAUGAUGUCACACUCAGUGAAUGCAGGAGAAAAUCAGAGUUCAUUCCAAUCGUGAUGCCACAAAAACUUACAAUCAGGAUGGCCCCAAUAAAAGUACUGUAUUUUACAUUUAAAAAUGUGAAAAAGAAUGAUGAACACAUUCUCUGACUUGUGUUUAUUGUGUGUUUUUGUACAGAGAGUAGGGGUGGUAUUCAUAUGGCUUCAUAUACAGUAUUCUUGUCCUUUGUAAUAAACACUUCUACCAUGUUUCCUUUGGCUGUUCCAUGUCUAUGUGCUUUCAUGCUAAUAUACAACAACAGACUGCACAAUUUGUAUUUUUAAAUGCUAAUUAUUCAAUUAUUUGUAAUUAUCAUUAUUGCCAUAUUGAAUUGAGAAACUGUGACAACCAGUCCAGGGUGUACCCUGCCUCUCGCCCAAAGACAGCUGGGAUAGGCUCCAGCACGGUCGCGACCCUCGUGAGGAUAAGCGACAGAAAAUGAAUGAAUGAAUAUGUGUAUAUAUAUAUUU